UACGAAGGGGCUAGCGUUGCUCGGAAUCACUGGGCGUAAAGGGUGCGUAGGCGGGUCUUUAAGUCAGGGGUGAAAUCCUGGAGCUCAACUCCAGAACUGCCUUUGAUACUGAAGAUCUUGAGUUCGGGAGAGGUGAGUGGAACUGCGAGUGUAGAGGUGAAAUUCGUAGAUAUUCGCAAGAACACCAGUGGCGAAGGCGGCUCACUGGCUCGGUACUGACGCUGAGGUGCGAAAGCGUGGGGA
rnacentral:rRNA from 1 species